GAGCGCAAGACCCUGCAACGAAAAUAGGCAAUGGCUGUCAAUGAAAGAAACUGGAGGGCAAAACGGUACUGUAACCAGGUUCCCUCCAAAUUCGAAUGUUGCCUGAUGUACCCACAAGAGGGAGUGCACUGGCUGACUAAUAAGGAAGGUACACCUUUUUCUAGAGCUCGUGCUUUCUUGUCACAAAGUAACAUGUGCUUAUGGAACAAAGGUCGACAACAUGGCUAUAAGCUUCUGGUGAAGGCAUGCCAAUCGCUCAAAGGAACAAAAAAGCCAUCCAAAACUAUCGGUACCACACUAAGUGCUUUAGCUUUCGGAAAAAUCAUCAGGUGAGUUAUCUAGAUGCAAUCAUCAAGAGAAUCACUACGCAAAUUUAUAUAUGAGAAUUCAGAAACAUUAACGAUUAUUCUAAACUACAUGCCAUUCAGGUCAAGAUGAUUUACCUGCCAGAAAGAGAAAAAGACAAUCCCUUUGAUGCACAAGAACUUUGCAAGAGGCUUGUGAGGUGCCAGCUCUUUAGCAAACAAGUGGUAGAAAAGAACCAGGGCAUAUAAUGCCAUGGAGACCGAAAUGUUCAGUAUAAUUGUAAACGUCCAGCUGACCCAACUUGGGUACAUCCCAAGAAGCUGUAGGGCAAUAAUCAGAAUGGAGCAUACUGGCCUAAUAACAACAAAUUGCCAGGUCCAGUACUUCAGAAGCUUCAGUGUCUUGUGCUCCAAUCGGACAGUGUGGGGCUGCCAUUGUAGAAUGCAUCAGAAUAUUAGUUCCUUUCAGCAAAUAUAGAAAUGUAAUCUACCAAAACCAAAGAAACAUGUAAACUCAAGUACUUGCCACAUCCUUCAAUCAAAUACAUUAGGGAGGCGUUUGGCUCGGC